rnacentral:rRNA from 1 species
AGCGAACGCUGGCGGCAGGCCUAACACAUGCAAGUCGAACGAAGUCUUCGGACUUAGAGGCGGACGGGUGAGUAACACGUGGGAACGUGCCUUUAGGUUCGGAAUAACUCAGGGAAACUUGUGCUAAUACCGAAUGUGCCCUUCGGGGGAAAGAUCUAUCGCCUUUAGAGCGGCCCGCGUCUGAUUAGCUAGUUGGUGAGGUAAAGGCUCACCAAGGCGACGAUCAGUAGCUGGUCUGAGAGGAUGAUCAGCCACAUUGGGACUGAGACACGGCCCAAACUCCUACGGGAGGCAGCAGUGGGGAAUCUUGCGCAAUGGGCGAAAGCCUGACGCAGCCAUGCCGCGUGAAUGAUGAAGGUCUUAGGAUUGUAAAAUUCUUUCACCGGGGACGAUAAUGACGGUACCCGGAGAAGAAGCCCCGGCUAACUUCGUGCCAGCAGCCGCCGUAA